rnacentral:rRNA from 1 species
AUUGAACGCUGGUGGCAUGCCUUACACAUGCAAGUCGAACGGCAGCACGGGAGCAAUCCUGGUGGCGAGUGGCGAACGGGUGAGUAAUGUAUCGGAACGUGCCCAGUCGUGGGGGAUAACGUAGCGAAAGCUACGCUAAUACCGCAUACGAUCUAUGGAUGAAAGCGGGGGAUCGCAAGACCUCGCGCGAUUGGAGCGGCCGAUAUCAGAUUAGGUAGUUGGUGGGGUAAAGGCUCACCAAGCCGACGAUCUGUAGCUGGUCUGAGAGGCACGACCAGCCACACUGGGACUGAGACACGGCCCAGACUCCUACGGGAGGCAGCAGUGGGGAAUUUUGGACAAUGGGCGCAAGCCUGAUCCAGCAAUGCCGCGUGCAGGAUGAAGGCCUUCGGGUUGUAAGCUGCUUUUGUACGGAACGAAACGGUGAGCUCUAAUACAGUUUGCUAAUGACGGUACCGUAAGAAUAAGCACCGGCUAACUACGUGCCAGCAGCCGCCGUAA